GCUUCGUUAACUCAAUUGGAUAGAGUACCUGCCUUCUAAGCAGGUUGUUACAAGUUCAAAUCUUGUACGAAGCGCCA
rnacentral:tRNA from 1 species